rnacentral:rRNA from 2 species
GCCCGUGAAAAGGCAAACACACUGUCCGUACCGAGAUCCGACACAGGUACUCGUGGCGGCGAAAGCCAAGGUCUGUCGGGAGCAACCGACGUUAGGGAAUUCGGCAAGUUAGUCCCGUACGUUCGCAAUAAGGGAUGCCUGCCCUGCAAUGGGGCAGGUCGCAGUGACUCGGGCGCUCCGACUGUCUAGUAACAACAUAGGGGACCGCAAAUCCGCAAGGACUCGUACGGUCACUGAAUCCUGCCCAGUGCAGGUAUCUGAACACCCCGUACAAGGGGACGAAGGACCUGUUAACGGCGGGGGUAACUAUGACCCUCUUAAGGUAGCGUAGUACCUUGCCGCUUCAGUAGCGGCUUGCAUGAAUGGAUCAACGAGAGCGCCACUGUCCCAACGUUGGGCCCGGUGAACUGUACGUUCCAGUGCGGAGUCUGGAGACCCCCAAGGGGAAGCGAAGACCCUAUAGAGCUUUACUGCAGGCUGUCACUGAGACGUGGUCGCCAUUGUGCAGCAUAGGUAGGAGNGAGACCCCCAAGGGGAAGCGAAGACCCUAUAGAGCUUUACUGCAGGCUGUCACUGAGACGUGGUCGCCAUUGUGCAGCAUAGGUAGGAGGCGGUACACAGGUACCCGCGCUAGCGGGCCACCGAGCCAACAUUGAAAUACUACCCGAUGGUGACUGCGACUCUCACUCCUGGCGGAGGACACUGGUAGCCGGGCAGUUUGACUGGGGCGGUACGC